rnacentral:rRNA from 1 species
CUCCGCCGGCGACCGGCGCACAGGUGCGUAACGCGUAUGCAACCUACCUUUAACAGGGGCAUAACACUGAGAAAUUGGUACUAAUUCCCCAUAACAUUCGAGAAGGCAUCUUCUUGGGUUAAAAACUCCGGUGGUUAAAGAUGGGCAUGCGUUGUAUUAGCUAGUUGGUGAGGUAACGGCUCACCAAGGCAACGAUACAUAGGGGGACUGAGAGGUUAACCCCCCACAUUGGUACUGAGACACGGACCAA